rnacentral:rRNA from 1 species
AGCACUACAACGGGUGGAGCUUGCGGUUUAAUUGGACUCAACGCCGGAAAACUCACCGGGGGUGACAGCAAGAUGUAGGUCAAGCUAAAGACUUUACCUGAAUCGCUGAGGGGAGGUGCAUGGCCGUCGUCAGUUCGUACUGUGAAGCAUCCUGCUAAGUCAGGCAACGAGCGAGACCCGUGCCCACUGUUCCCAGCAUGUCCUUCGGGAUGAUGGGUACUCUGUGGGGACCGCUGGUGCUAAACCAGAGGAAGGUGCGGGCUACGGUAGGUCAGUAUGCCCCGAAUCUCCCGGGCUACACGCGGGCUACAAUGGUUGGGACAAUGGGUCCCUACCCCGAAAGGUGAUGGUAAUCUCUUAAACCCAACCGUAGUUCGAAUCGAGGACUGUAACUCGUCCUCGUGAAGCUGGAAUCCGUAGUAAUCGCGUUUCAACAUAGCGCGGUGAAUACGUCCCUGCUCCUUGCACACACCGCCCGU